GAUGAACGCUGGCGGCGUGCCUAAUACAUGCGAGUCGAGCGAACAGACGAGGAGCUUGCUCCUCUGACGUUAGCGGCGGACGGGUGAGUAACACGUGGAUAACCUACCUAUAAGACUGGGAUAACUUCGGGAAACCAGAGCUAAUACCGGAUAAUAUAUUGAACCGCAUGGUUCAAUAGUGAAAGACGGUUUUGCUGUCACUUAUAGAUGGAUCCGCGCCGCAUUAGCUAGUUGGUAAGGUAACGGCUUACCAAGGCAACGAUGCGUAGCCGACCUGAGAGGGUGAUCGGCCACACUGGAACUGAGACACGGUCCAGACUCCUACGGGAGGCAGCAGUAGGGAAUCUUCCGCAAUGGGCGAAAGCCUGACGGAGCAACGCCGCGUGAGUGAUGAAGGUCUUCGGAUCGUAAAACUCUGUUAUUAGGGAAGAACAAAUGUGUAAGUAACUAUGCACGUCUUGACGGUACCUAAUCAGAAAGCCACGGCUAACUACGUG
rnacentral:rRNA from 1 species